ACCUGGGUGGCUCAGUUGGUUGAGCGUUUGACUUUGGCUCAGGUCAUGAUCUCACGGUUCAUGGGUUCAAGCCCCAUAUCAGGUG
rnacentral:tRNA from 1 species